rnacentral:rRNA from 1 species
AUUGAACGCUGGCGGCAGGCCUAACACUUGCAUGUCGAGCGAGCGGCGGACGGGUGAGUAAUGUAUGGGGUCUGCCCGAUAGAGGGGGAUAACUACUGGAACCGGUGGCUAAUACCGCAUCCUAUCGGAUAACCCAUAUGGGAUUAGCUAGUAGGUGGGGUAAAGGCUCACCUAGGCGACGAUCUCUAGCUGGUCUGAGAGCAUGAUCAGCCACACUGGGACUGAGACACGGCCCAGACUCCUACGGAGGCAGCAGUGGGGAAUAUUGCACAAUGGGCGGAAGCCGGAUGCAGCCAUGCCGCGUGUAUGAAGAAGUCCUUAGGGUUGUAAAGUACUUUCAGCGGGGAGGCUUUAACUGCAGAAGAAGCACCGGCUAACUCCGGGCCAGCAGCCGCGGUAAUAC